rnacentral:lncRNA from 9 species
CGCUCAGCUUGCGCUCUGCCUAGUGUAGAAGGCGUUCUCCACACGGUUAGCUGCCUAUUUCCACAGAAUCCGAAGUUAGCGCUCUGAGGUCGUGGUGACGCGGUCGGGAGCGCACGGUACUGCUGGCUUCUAUCCCUCGUGGUCCCACUUCACCGCCUCCUUUUACGGCCACCUGUCCUUCCAGGGGGUCUUUCUUGGAGCACCGUCACCUGGAGUCACCUGUAGAUUGAGGUGUGCAUGGCAACCCCCCCGGCUCGCUGCGGGUGCUGGAAAAGGGAGGCGGGCCAAGGCCUCCGGCCCAGAAAGUUGAGCAAGACCUGGCAACCUUCCCACAGAGGUGAUCAAUAAGUGCUUGUGGAAAGAACAAAUGAAUGGAUGGAUGGAGGAGGAGUCAGAAGGAGCACUCAGGAUGCCUUCCAGCUUUUCCAUGUGGGAGCAAGAAGUGAUGGUGAUCCUGGAGGAAGAGUCAACAUUCGCUCUUUUGAGUUUAUUUAGAAGACAGAGCUGCAUCAAGUUGAUCUGCCUCCUGAAAUCAGUCGGAAUGAAGUCAACGAGUUGGAUUGGAAACUUCAUUGAAUGAAGGAGAGUUUCCAGGAGGUUACGACAAAGAUGGAGAAAGGUAGGUACAACUUGUCUUAGUCUCAAAGAUGCAGGAAUUUUUUUUGGUGUGUGUGGGGCUUCCUUGUGCAGACCAGAAAACCUGCUAGACAAAUUCUAGAGGAGAUGUAGCACUGAUGCAGGAAUUUUUAAAGACAGAGAAGGCAUAUUGGUCUUCUUGGGAUCCUCAAGUCUAUAAAAAAAUCAUGCUCUAUAUGGGAAAAUGAGAAAUAUUAUUUUUAGAUCUUUGAGAAGGAGGAAAAGAGAAGCCAGAAUGAGGAGAAGGAAGAAGAGGAAAAGAUUUAAGAGAGAGAAGUCUUCAAUAUGGAAGAAGGCUGGGGACCAUUUGUGAUGAUGGGGUAACUAAAAUAGCCUUUAAGAGCAGUUGUACUUACGUAUAGUUUUAAGUCAUUUGCCCCCCCCCCCUUUUUGGUCUUUUUAGAGCCUUAUUUGCAGUGUAUGGAAGUUCCCAGGCUAGGGAUUGAAUUGGAGCUGUAGCUGCUGGCCUACACCACAGCCACAGCAAUGCGGGAUCCAAGCCUUGUCUGCAACCUACACCCUAACGGCAGCACUGGAUCCUUAACCCACUGAGCAAGGCCAGGGAUUGAACCUACAAUCUUCAUGGAUGCUAGUCAGAUUCAUUUUCUCUGAGCCACCACGGGAACUCCCAAUCAUUUGCCAUUUUAUUUUAUGUAUCUCAUGGCCAUGGCUUUCCAGUAGUUUUGGCAAAAUGUUC